rnacentral:lncRNA from 1 species
AGACAACGAAGGAAGGAUUGAAGACCGGACUUGCUCAUGGAAUGACAAGAGAUCAGAUCUGACCAUGGAACCAAUGAAGAAUGAGAGACUGAAUUAGAUAGCGUGAACAAUGGUAGAAAGAUGCUUGAACCUGACCACAGUGGUGAUGGGGAGAAGAACGAGCACCUAGAUCUAGGCAUCGAGAGGAUGAAGGCAUCCCCUGUUGUCGAUGAGACCAGAUCUGAACAUGGGGAUGACCUGAAGACCAAAUCUAGAAAUCGAGAGGAUGAAGGUAUCCUCUAUUGCCGAUGAGACCAGAUCUAAAUGUGGGGACAACGUGGAGACCAGAUCUGGCCAUUACCGAUUACCUGCGGUACCAGAUCUAGAUACAUGGAGGACAGGGAAGGCGCCGGCGGUGUUUCAACAAUGAAACAAAGGAGGGUCGAUACUUUGGAGGAUGGUGGGGAAGAUAGAAG